CGGAGAGUUCCCUUCGGGGACAUUGGUGACAGGUGGUGCAUGGUUGUCGUCAGCUCGUGUCGUGAGAUGUUGGGUUAAGUCCCGCAACGAGAGCAACCCUUGUCUUUAGUUGCCAUCAUUAAGUUGGGCACUCUAGAGAGACUGCCAGGGAUAACCUGGUGGAGUGUGGGGAUGACGUCAAAUCAUCAUUCCCCUUAUCCUUAGAGCUACACACGUGCU
rnacentral:rRNA from 1 species